GUAUAUGGCAGAUGGCACCUGGUUGCUACAAAGUUAAACGUGAUGGUAAUAAUUGAUGAAACUCCCGUAAGAGCACCCAAACCUCGUGUGAGAUCAGCGAGAAAGGCUCUCGUUGACACUCAGCCUGUGUGUUGUGACCCUGGAUGUAUCUGGUUUUGUAGCGUCAUAUUCAGUAUCAUAACAGUAGGAAUGUGUUACUACCUGGCUUACACACUCCUGGCAGACACGAAGCUCAGGUUUGCAAUAUUUAUGCCCUAACAUCACCCAUUCAGAUGGAAGAAAGCGAUAAAUUCUGUUGGUGUAAUUUAAAUUUGUCGAUUUAUGUCUUUGCUUGUUUAUAUGUCUUUAUGGUACUAAUUUUAAUGCAAUUUUUAAAAGUUAAUCAAUCCAAGUGUUAAGUGAUAGAAGUAAAUAUCGCUCACAAGGCAGCUUACAAUCAUCGCCAUCGUAUUGAAUGGUAUACAAAAUAAAUGAGAAACUCGAAAAGAUUAUUUAUUUCCUUUACUACCGAUUUUAUAACCAAUGGAUGAUGUCUCUACGCCCUGUAAUUAUGUUUUUAGUAUGUGAUAACAAUUUGUGAAUAAUUACAAAUAAAAAUAUGUACAAUUUAA